rnacentral:rRNA from 1 species
GACGAACGCUGGCGGCGCGCUUAACACAUGCAAGUCGAACGGAAAGGCCCUGCUUUUGUGGGGUGCUCGAGUGGCGAACGGGUGAGUAACACGUGAGUAACCUGCCCUUGACUUUGGGAUAACUUCAGGAAACUGGGGCUAAUACCGGAUAGGAGCUCCUGCUGCAUGGUGGGGGUUGGAAAGUUUCGGCGGUUGGGGAUGGACUCGCGGCUUAUCAGCUUGUUGGUGGGGUAGUGGCUUACCAAGGCUUUGACGGGUAGCCGGCCUGCGAGGGUGACCGGCCACAUUGGGACUGAGAUACGGCCCAGACUCCUACGGGAGGCAGCAGUGGGGAAUAUUGCACGAUGGGCGGAAGCCUGAUGCAGCAACGCCGCGUGCGGGAUGACGGCCUUCGGGUUGUAAACCGCUUUCGCCUGUGACGAAGCGUGAGUGACGGUAAUGGGUAAAGAAGCACCGGCUAACUACGUG